rnacentral:lncRNA from 1 species
AGUGGGGAUCCUGAAUUCAAGUAUCUCAACGCUGAAUAACUCCACACUGAAUAAUAUACACUGACCAAAUCAUCCUGCUGCUGAAGAGAGCCGACCCCACUCCGCUGCUAUGACAACAACAACAACCAAAGCUUCUAUGGUUUCCUAAACGGCCGGUUUCAUGGGCUUCCAGUACCCCAACCUGACAACCUUCCUGUCACUCAUGCCUGAGAGCAGACAGCCUGAGCUGGUCAACUCCAUGCCUCCCUCUGAACUUGGAGAGCUGCUACGGCGUCCUGACAUUGUGGACGAUGAGCCAAUCUCUGUCUCCUCUACAGCCUCUAUACUAACACACCCGUGUUCCUGGAAACUGUACGUACCCCCCCCCCCCCCCCACACACACACACACACACACAUACACACACACACACACCAAUACACAAGCACAAACACGCGUGCCAUUGUGCUCACACACACACACAUACACACAUACACACACAAACCACACACACACACAACACCACACACACACACCACACACAACACACACACACACACACAACCACACACACCACACACGUACAUACACAAUACAUACACACACACACACACACACACACACACACACACACACACACACACACACACACACACACACACAACACACACCUACAAACCUACAAAUAACGCUAUCCCCAACCACAGGAGACCCUCCCAGAGGCGGUGGGGCGUCAGACGCUGCCAUGCGUCUGGCCCACGGCUCUGA